rnacentral:rRNA from 1 species
UGGGGAAUAUUGCACAAUGGGCGAAAGCCUGAUGCAGCGACGCCGCGUGAGGGAUGACGGCCUUCGGGUUGUAAACCUCUUUCAGCAGGGACGAAGCGCAAGUGACGGUACCUGCAGAAGAAGCACCGGCUAACUACGUGCCCGCAGCCGCGGUAAUACGUAGGGUGCAAGCGUUGUCCGGAAUUACUGGUCGUAAAGAGUUCGUAGGCGGUUUGUCGCGUCGUUUGUGAAAACCAGCCGCUCAACUGCUGGCUUGCAGGCGAUACGGGCAGACUUGAGUACUGCAGGGGAGACUGGAAUUCCUAGUGUAGCGGUGAAAUGCGCAGAUAUCAGGAGGAACACCGGUGGAGAAGGCGGGUCUCUGGGCAGUGACUGACGCUGAGGAACGAAAGCGUGGGUAGCGAACAGG